rnacentral:lncRNA from 1 species
UUACAUCCCCAACCGCAUCUCUGACCCCAACUAUGUCCGCAUCUUCGACACCACUCUCCGCGACGGUGAGCAGUCCCCUGGUGCCUCCUUGACCUCAAAAGAAAAACUCGACAUCGCCCGGAAGUUAGCAAAGCUUGGGGUUGACAUAAUUGAGGCUGGUUUCCCCGCCUCUUCCAAAGACGAUGCCGAGGCUGUGAAGAUGAUUGCAAAGGAGGUUGGGAAUGCAGUUGACAAGGACGGUUAUGUUCCUGUCAUUUGUGGAUUGUCAAGGUGCAAUAGAAGUGAUAUUCAGAC